AACAAAAUGUAGCUUAAUAACAAAGCUCCUCGCUUACACCGAGUCGUUAUCUAUUUGAUUAGAUCAUUUU
rnacentral:tRNA from 1 species